rnacentral:rRNA from 1 species
GACGAACGCUGGCGGCGUGCUUAACACAUGCAAGUCGAGCGAGGCCCACCUUUCGGGGUGGUGUUCUAGCGGCGAACGGGUGAGUAACACGUGGGCAACCUGCCCUCAGCUCUGGGAUAACUCCAAGAAAUUGGGGCUAAUACCGGAUAUGACUGCUGACCGCAUGGUCUGGUGGUGGAAAGAUUUAUCGGCUGGGGAUGGGCCCGCGGCCUAUCAGCUUGUUGGUGGGGAGUGGCCUACCAAGGCGACGACGGGUAGCCGGCCUGAGAGGGUGACCGGCCACACUGGGACUGAGACACGGCCCAGACACCUACGGGUGGCAGCAGUUUCGAAUCAUUCACAAUGGGCGAAAGCCUGAUGGUGCGACGCCGCGUGAGGGAUGAAGGUCUUCGGAUUGUAAACCCUCUGUCACCGGGGAAGAAACGCUUUGAGUUAAUAGUUCAAAGCCUGACUUAACCCGGAGAGGAAGCAGU